CCAUCACUGACGCUCAUGGACGAAAGCCAGGGGAGCGAAAGGGAUUAGAUACCCCUGUAGUCCUGNCCGUAAACGAUGANCACUAGGUGUCGGGGGAAUCGACCCCCUCGGUGUCGUAGCCAACGCGUUAAGUGUUCCGCCUGGGGAGUACGCACGCAAGUGUGAAACUCAAAGGAAUUGACGGGGGCCCGCACAAGCGGUGGAGUAUGUGGUUUAAUUCGAUGCAACGCGAAGAACCUUACCAGGGUUUGACAUCCUGCGAAUCUCUUGGAAACAGGAGAGUGCCUUCGGGAACGCAGUGACAGGUGGUGCAUGGCUGUCGUCAGCUCGUGUCGUGAGAUGUUGGGUUAAGUCCCGCAACGAGCGCAACCCACGUCUUUAGUUGCCAGCAUUUAGUUGGGCACUCUAGAGAGACUGCCGGUGAUAAACCGGAGGAAGGUGUGGAUGACGUCAAGUCAUCAUGCCCCUUACAUCCUGGGCUACACACGUACUACAAUGCUACGGACAAAGGGCAGCAAGUUCGCGAGGACAAGCAAAUCCCAUAAACCGUGGCUCAGUUCAGAUCGUAGGCUGCAACUCGCCUACGUGAAGGCGGAAUCGCUAGUAAUCGCAGGUCAGCAUACUGCGGUGAAUACGUUCCCGGGCCUUGUACACACCGCCUGUCACACCAUGGAGGUUGGCCACGCCCGAAGCCGUUACUCCAACCCUUGUGGAGGAGGACGUCGAAGGUGGGGCUGAUGACUGGGGUGAAGUCGUAACAAGGUAACC
rnacentral:rRNA from 1 species